GAUGAACGCUGGCGGCGUGCCUAAUACAUGCAAGUCGAGCGAACGGACGAGAAGCUUGCUUCUCUGAUGUUAGCGGCGGACGGGUGAGUAACACGUGGAAAACCUACCUAUAAGACUGGGAUAACUUCGGGAAACCGGAGCUAAUACCGGAUAAUAUUUUGAACCGCAUGGUUCAAAAGUGAAAGACGGUCUUGCUGUCACUUAUAGAUGGAUCCGCGCUGCAUUAGCUAGUUGGUAAGGUAACGGCUUACCAAGGCAACGAUGCAUAGCCGACCUGAGAGGGUGAUCGGCCACACUGGAACUGAGACACGGUCCAGACUCCUACGGGAGGCAGCAGUAGGGAAUCUUCCGCAAUGGGCGAAAGCCUGACGGAGCAACGCCGCGUGAGUGAUGAAGGUCUUCGGAUCGUAAAACUCUGUUAUUAGGGAAGAACAUAUGUGUAAGUAACUGUGCACAUCUUGACGGUACCUACUCAGAAAGCCACGGCUAACUACGUG
rnacentral:rRNA from 1 species